UGUAUGCUCAUUAAAGGAGUAUAACACAUACAAACAUUACCUGGAUACGGUCAAGACUGACCAUCAUAAAACGUACAGCAAAAAGUUGAAGGAACAGAUACUGAGAAUGGUUCAGUUGCAAGAGGAAGGCCAUAUACCUAAGGACGUUACCCUGGAAGAUAUGAUAGAGUACUUACUGAAUAAAGGAGCACAGAACCUGAAGCAUCUGCAGUCAACCAUUGGUUCCAGGGACAGGGGACAGAAAUAUGGCCUGCAAACUGCGUUGUAUGACCAAGAGAGAGAGUUUAAAGAGGAUUGGGUUUCUAAGGAGCGAUCCAGGCUGAAACUCAUUGAAAAGGAUGUGAGGCACGAUUUGAACAAGGCCAAGUAUAUGAAAGAGGCCAAAGAAAAGCG